GUAAACGAGGGCAUGAAUCAGUAUAGAAAUGUAAUAAUGUAA
rnacentral:guide_RNA from 1 species